GGGCGUUUAGCUCAGUAGGAUAGAGCGCAUCCCUUACAAGGAUGAGGUCGUUGGUUCGAGCCCAACAACGCCCA
rnacentral:tRNA from 2 species